GAUGAAGAACGCAGCAAAAUGCGAUAAGUAAUGUGAAUUGCAGAAUUCAGUGAAUCAUCGAGUCUUUGAACGCACAUUGCGCCCCCUGGUAUUCCGGGGGGCAUGCCUGUCCGAGCGUCAUUGCUGCCCUCAAGCACGGCUUGUGUGUUGGGCCUCCGUCCUCCUCCCGGGGGACGGGCCCGAAAGGCAGCGGCGGCACCGCGUCCGGUCCUCGAGCGUAUGGGGCUUCGUCACCCGCUCUUGUAGGCCCGGCCGGCGCUUGCCGACACAUCAAUCUUUUUUCCAGGUUGACCUCGGAUCAGGUAGGGAUACCCGCUGAACUUAAGCAUAUCAAUAAGCGGAGGA
rnacentral:misc_RNA from 1 species